CCUACGGGAGGCAGCAGUGGGGGAUAUUGCACAAUGGGGGAAACCCUGAUGCAGCGACGCCGCGUGGGUGAAGAAGCGCCUCGGCGCGUAAAGCCCUGUCAGCAGGGAAGAAAAUGACGGUACCUGAAGAAGAAGCCCCGGCUAACUACGUGCCAGCAGCCGCGGUAAUACGUAGGGGGCAAGCGUUAUCCGGAUUUACUGGGUGUAAAGGGGGCGCAGACGGCGAUGCAAGCCAGGAGUGAAAGCCCGGGGCCCAACCCCGGGACUGCUGUUGGAACUGCGUGGCUAGAGUGCAGGAGGGGCAGGCGGAAUUCGUGGUGUAGCGGUGAAAUGCGUAGAUAUCAGGAGGAACACCGGUGGCGAAGGCGGCCUGCUGGACUGCAACUGACGUUGAGGCCCGAAAGCGUGGGGAGCAAACAGGAUUAGAUACCCGGGUAGUA
rnacentral:rRNA from 1 species